UACGUAGGGGGCAAGCGUUAUCCGGAUUUACUGGGUGUAAAGGGAGCGCAGGCGGCGUGGCAAGUCAGAUGUGAAAACCCGAGGCUCAACCACGGGAGUGCAUUGGAAACUGGCGAGCUGGAGUGCCGGAGAGGUAAGCGGAAUUCCUAGUGUAGCGGUGAAAUGCAUAGAUAUCACGCAGAACCCCGAUUGCGAAGGCAGCAUACCGGUGCACAACUGACGCUCAGGCACGAAAGCGUGGGUAUCGAACAGG
rnacentral:rRNA from 1 species